rnacentral:rRNA from 1 species
GCCCCGUAAUCGGAAUGAGUACACUUUAAAUCCUUUAACAAGGAUCCAUUGGAGGGCAAGUCUGGUGCCAGCAGCCGCGGUAAUUCCAGCUCCAAUAGCGUAUAUUAAAGUUGUUGCGGUUAAAAAGCUCGUAGUUGGUUCUGCGUGCCGCGCUGUCGGUUCGCCGCCUGUCGGUGUAACUGGCAUGUUCGCGGCAUGUCCUGUCGGUGGUGAACAGGGUCCUCGAUGCUGCAUUAGUCUUUUAAAGGCCGAUGUUAGCGUCGUGUGUACUUUUGUUGGCCGAUCUCUCCUACUUCGGUGCUCUUAAACGAGUGUCGAGGUAGGCCGACACGUUCACUUUGAACAAAUUAGAGUGCUUAAAGCAGGCUGAAAUAUCUGCCUGAAUAGUGGUGCAUGGAAUGAUAAAACAGGACCUCGGUUCUAUUUUGUUGGUUUUAGGAAUAUGAGGUUAUGAUCAAUGUGGACUGGCGGGGGCAUUCGUAUUGCGACGUUAGAGGUGAAAUUCUUGGAUCGUCGCAAGACGCACUAGAGCGAAAGCAUUUGCCAAGUAUGUCUUAAUUGAUCAAGAACGAAAGUUAGAGGUUCGAAGGCGAUUAGAUACCGCCCUAGUUCUAACCAUAAACGAUGCCAGCCAGCGAUCCGCCGAUGUUCCUUUAAUGACUCGGCGGGGAGCUUCUACCCGGGAAACCAAAGCUUUUGGGUUCCGGGGGAAGUAUGGUUGCAAAGCUGAAACUUA